AAGUAUGUCCAAAGAAUCUGAGGACCAAUGCCAAUAAUAAUCAUCACUUGUAAACUUACAUUUUCUUACCUACUACUUGGGUUACCCUCAGCUAUUUCUCUCUUUCGUGGUCCCUUCUGCCUCAGUUAAAUUCUUUGUGAGCAAAGGAAAGACAAAGAAACUCUCUGAAUUUUCAGGACUAUUUUCUUUGAGAUUUGUGGCUUUUUUUCCCUGCCUCUUGACUCUGCAGUACUGACGGGUAUGGUAUGUGUGGUACUGUACUAGACCCUCUGUGGUUUCUGCAUAAAUGAGGCAAGGCCAAAGAUGACUGCUCCAAGUGAGAGAAGAUACUCCAGGAAAAGUACCUCUGCUCUUCUAACCUCUGACUACACACAAGAGCAGGAACUGCAGGUGUUUCCUUCAACACAAGGAAAAGCACUGAAAAAGAGUGUAAAGGGGGAGAGGUGGUUCUUGUGAAGCUCUUUCCAGGGGCACGGGGAGAUGAAGGGUCUCCAUCAGGGUCAAGGUGUGACCCCAUGAACUCAUCCCAGGGUCAUGUCUGUCUCCUGUACACUGAGCAGGGACCGGCUCCUGCAGCACUGCAUCCCUGCCUGGCUGUGAUUCUUGGCAGCUCAUGGAUUUGCUUUUCAUCUCCUCAAAGCAGCAGGAGAACAACAGUGGGUUUAUAAGCCCAGAGGAAAUUGUCCACCAAGUUUUGAAUCCCUGGCAGAGGACUCUAGCUGUAAUCAUGGCAGGAUGAGGGGAAAUCAGAGCCCUGCUUAGGGUAUAGUAAAUAAAAUGUGGGGGAAAAAGCAAGGGCAAAUGAACAUAUUUAAAAACAAAAUAAAUCAGCUGUGGAAACACAAUUUAAAAGCUGAACAUGGAAUUUUUUUCCAGCCUUGAUCUGGGAGAGAUGCAAUAUAAUUUCAUUACUGAAAAAGGCUGUGCUAAGAGUCCAGUGAGAUGAUCACUCACUUAUCACUCCUAACACUAUUUGUUUUCAGAUGACAAUUACAAAACCCAGAUGUGAACAACUAGGAGAUUUUAUAUUAGGACUGGGCUUCUCAGUGAGUUUCAAAGGUAGCCAAAAUGGUAGAUUUAAAGUUCACUCUUGUUAUAUGAUGUGGUAAGGUUGUUGAUAGCCUGUCAUGACAAUCUUUUAAUCUACACACCUCCUAAACUCAGUAUAGAUUUAUUCUGGAGAGAAAGGAGCGGAGUUAUAGAGCUGUUAUUCAUUAUGUCUCAUGCUUUCCUCCCUGCUUUAAACAUUUAACCUGUAAUAUGAUGAGCCACAUGUCAGGAAUAAUCUAGUAUAAACCAUAGGUAAUCCCUACUGAAAGAUAAGCCUGGCUCUUGACCUGCCGCAGCCCUGGAAUUAAAAUUCCACCUCUCUUGAAUUUGGGUGUACUAGGUAAAUCAUGGAUCAGUUUCAUGGUAGCCAGUGAGGAAGAAAAGAUGAGAUUUCCUGGUUUCCCUCAGUUUAAUAAAACCAAACCCUAAAAUGCA